AGAAUCAGGAGACAACAUAAAAGGGGCUGUAAAGGUUGUGUCAAGGCCUAUGGCUUUAGAACUGAUACGUAAUUGGAUUUGCUGCCAAAUGAAGAAAGCAAGACAGCUAUCAUGUAGCAAACCAAUCAGAACCUCCAAAGAAUCUAAUGUGUAAUUAGCUCAGAGAAUGACAGCCUCAGUUAUUAUUUCUGCUGAAUUUCAUUUUAUAGCAAGACAGAAGAAUAAAUGAGUGAAAUUUGGCAAUCACAGAGCACAGGCAAAGUUCAGAUAAUAUGCUGGAGAUUGUCUAACUUACCAGAGUGAUUGAGACAGCAGCUCAUGGAUAUGUCUGCUUUGUGUCACACAGAACUAAAGAAGCAAAGAAGAAAUCAACAGCGUUUGGAAGACAGCACUGUCUCGCUGCUGUGGCAGGGAUACGAUGGAACAGAAGAAGCAAUUGUGGGAUGCAGUGCAGAAGGGCGACUGGGGCAAGGGUAACACAAAGCCUUGAGGACAAGAACCAGGAGUAAAGCUGACUGGCGCUGAUGUACUAAUUAGUGCACUAGCAGUGGUGGCUGGAAACCAAGUGAGUUUGAAAGAAAAAUACAAAGGCCGGAUGAGAAAAGGCACUGAAAGAGACUGCAACAGCAGUUGCAGUAUGACUGGCACAUGUGCAGGUAGGAACUGCUGCAGGUCCUGCUGAAUGCAGUGCUCCCCCUGAGGCACCCUCCUCCUGGUGGUUCCCUCUGCCAGUUAACACUGUGCUGGCUGAACUACUGCAUCCCUCCCUGACUGACUACUCCAAGUCAUCUUUUGCUUCUGCCUGUCAAACCCAUUCCUUUUUUUUCUUUCUCCUCUGCUGGAUGAAUCCACUCAAACACAUUCUGACAAAGACAGGAACACUUCUAACGAGGACAAAAUGGUUGAUUGUGAGACAGCCACCCACGUGCAUAGUGGCACUGGCCUCUGCAUUUGUCACUUUUGCAUGCAGAAGUUCAGCACCCAAGAAGCAGCACGGCACGGACAGCUGGAUGGACAAAUGACUACAGGAAACAUGGAGCUCAGGCAGGUGGCAAUGACUGGGUAUGCCUGGGACACGCCGCUAUCAGCUUGGAUAGAAUCUCAUUUGCUUUAUUUCUACUCUCAUUCAAUCUUGUUCUUCCCCCAUGUAUUCAAAGCCAACGGCUGCUGUGAAGCUGAAGUGACUGAGCAGUGCUCCCCGAAGACUGUAAUUUCCCUGCCUGAAAUAUGUACCAAAUGAGUCAUUCAUUUAACGUUUCCCCUCCUGCAGAUUUUGCUUUCAUAUUGAUGCCAAUCUCAGAAGUGUGAUCAGAUCCUGUCCUGGCUUCUGUUCUGCUAAAUCACAUCGUAACUUCUGUGUCAUUCUCUGUGACCUUUGCUCUGUAAUUUCUCCACUUUAUAUUCUUUUAGUUGCUAUCUUAUAAUUUCCAUUGUUUUUACCAACUACUGUCUUAAUGAUUCUUGUAAUUUAAAGUUUUUCAAAACAAUUGUGGCGUUGGGAGGGGAGGGAGUGCUGCUUCCAUUUUGCAAGUACUGUGACCUUGCCCUGGGAGAGACUUGUCUUUUUAUUUCCUCCUCCAUAAUGAGUUGGUUUUGAUGGUAUAAAUCACAAGGAAAUCACUGUGUGGUGCUUGUCAAAGUGAACUCAGACUUGGCUUUCUGCCAAGCUGCUGUGAGUUUUCUUAUCCCUGCUUUGCAAGCAGGUUCGGCGUUGCCAGCUGUGUGCCUCCUGCUGCUGGCUGCUGGGAUGCCUUCCUUCAUCUCCUCCCAUGGAGGAGCAUUUUUCUCUCCAUUGCCUGUAUUCCUAAUUGGACAUCUCAAGUGUGAGGGCACCGAUCUGGGUCUUCCUGUGCCAAAUAGUUACAUGUCUUCUGAUCCUUGAUGUACUUUGAGCUUUUUGCAAUGACCUGUUUCUCCUUAAGGAGCAGUAGCCACUUCUAGUUCUUCUUAAGAAAGUGCUUUUCCCAAUAACUAUCUGGUAGUCUUUUCUUUUUGGCUGGUUUGUGACUCUUCUGAGCUACUGCCACCAAGUUUGUUAUGAAAGGCUUGAUUCUGACGCUCUUAAUGGUACUUGUGAUGGCAAAUACUUUCUUAGCCUUGCUGUUAUGUUGGUAUUCCAAAGCUAAUUGAAGUCUGACAGCAGGUGUCCAGGUAUCACCAAAGCAGAAGUCUCCAAUAUUUUCCUCACAGCACAGACUGCGUUUAUAGGCACAAGCUUUUGGUGAACUGACUUCAGGAGUAAAGAUCUCAUUUGUAAACUGACUUGGUUCCAUUCAAUGAAAAUAAAGAACAUGCUGAACUCUACUGAGCAAUGAUUAUUCACUUCCAUAACCAACAGAGGAGUAAUUGUGUUGGGAGUGAAAUCAAAGGCCAUAUGUAUGCUGCUUUUUCCUUACACGAAAAAUAGUCCAAGUACUCCAAGAGAUAAUUAUGUCAACUCUUGUAAUUUUACUAUGAGUUUCAGGAUAUAAAUAAAAAUAUAUUUUUUUUCU
ensembl:lncRNA